rnacentral:lncRNA from 1 species
CUCCACUGUGGGCAAUGUAUAUAAACUUUGAGUGGCUACUGGUCUUCAUAACAGGGAUAAAGUGACAUAUACCAACGUCAAAGAUCUACAGACAGAGCAAAAUUUGUACAAGGUAUUUAAUAUUUUAUUUUUUUAUCAUAUGUACACUUUAUCAUUGAUUGCUGUUAAUUUCUAUUUUCAUUAUUUUAUUACAACUGACAGCAAGUACCUUCGUACAACGUUGCAGGUAACUAGAACAAAUGUUGCUGGUUAAGUCAACAUUAUAAUCAUAUGAGGGUUAACUAAUUCCCUGUUUAUUGUAAAUGUCAAUAAAAUCCGGAUAUGUUUUUUUCUCAAACGAUUUAUGAAUUUCGAAUAGCAGUAUACUAUUGUUGCUUUUAUUAAAGAUGAUUAUACAAAACAAGAACAUUUAGUUAGUAGAAUUAAAGAUCAGAUUUAGUUUAAACAAUAAAAAAGCUUAAAAUGUUAAGUUCUUAUUUUUUUAAUUUACAUUUGUAUCAUGUGAUCAUGGUAUUGUCUGUUUUCCUGAUUGAUUUUUUUAUAGACAUUUGAUAACAGUUGAUUUGAUAAAAUGAAUUAAUUUUCUGUCAAAAAAAAAGCGCGCGCUCAAACUUAUCCCAAGACAUAAGUUUGUUUUGUUGGUCAAAAGGAAACAUGUAGGACCAAGUUUCACUUCUAAAAAAUAUCAAACUCACAAUGAAUAAUUCAAACAGCUGUUUGAACCAACUAAUAUUUGAAUAUGAAAGAGUCGAAAUAAUAUUUAUUCAUAACGUAUUUUAACAAUUUUACACAGUCCAAUGAUAUUGAACUGGUCUUCAUAAACUGUUGACGACAAUCUUAAAAGAAAAAUUGUCUUGUGAAAUCGACAUUUUAUUACCUUGUUUUUUAUCGCACGAGAAACAUGACAGUUGCCACAUGUGGAGCAGGAUCUGCUCACCCAUAUGGGCCAACUUCUCAGUCUUUAAUUUUUUAUGUUGUGUUUGUCACUGUUGUUUGUCUGUUUUCUUUUGUCUUGUUGUUUUUUUCGACAAGGCGUUCUUGGACUAUUUGUUAUUAAUGACACUGCUGUUCCCUUUGAUACCCUUCGACUGAAUUAAACAAAGAUGAGAUCAUUUGUAUCUUAUGAUCACUUAACAUACAUUCUUAUCUAUAUUCUUCUACCUUUUAUUUCCAGAAAAUGAAAACACUUUUUGUUUUUGCGACACUUGUGAUAGUGGGACACUGCCUACUGGACGAUAUUUUGGGGAACAUAUCGUCAAAUAA